CUGUCUCAGCAAGGAGUAAGCACCUCAGAUUUGGAGCCACUGGUCAGUUCCCCCCAAUGUCUUGCUCUCUCCUCCGGGGGCCUGGAAAGUAACCUGACACUAGAGACAGUAGACGCCAGGGGGAGGGAAGAGCAGCUCAAUUUGGAGGAGACACCUGAGAAGAUGGUAGGCCAGACUACAGCCCAGCAGCACGAAGAAUUCCGCCUCAAACAUCCACCUCACCUCACCUUUGAUCUCUGCAGUCAGGGUCUCAUCUUGUAAACAGACAUUACAGUGAGAAGAAUGCUGGUGUCGGCGACCCCUUGAGCCCUGUUUUAGCAGUAAUGGCUGGUGGAACCAGAGUCCCUUCUCUCUCCUCCAUGUUAACAGAAUGUGGAAGUAUUCCUGAAUCAUCAAUCCUUCAUAACGG